GUUGUCGUGGUCGAGUGGUUAAGAUGAUAGACUGUAAAUCUUUUGGGAUCUUCCAUCGCAGGUUCAAAUCCUGCCGACAACG